rfam:Mycobacterium xenopi RIVM700367 contig83, whole genome shotgun sequence.
AGCGCCGCGUAAGUGGGCCGAUGGUCGACUCCGGUGGCGUCAGGGGCCACAGCCCAGUCCAGCCCCGGAAAGCUGCAG